rnacentral:rRNA from 1 species
GACGACAAUAGCAAGUGGGAACCACCUGAUUCCAUCUCGAACUCAGUAGUGAAACCGCUUAGCGCCGAUGGUAGUGUGGCGUUUCGCCAUGUGAGAGUAGGUCAUUGUCA